rnacentral:rRNA from 1 species
AGAGUUUGAUCAUGGCUCAGGAUGAACGCUAGCGGCAGGCCUAAUACAUGCAAGUCGGACGGGAUUUGGGAGCUUGCUCCUAAUGAGAGUGGCGCACGGGUGCGUAACACGUAUGUAACCUACCAUUGUCAGGGGGAUAGCCUCUCGAAAGAGAGAUUAAGCCCGCAUAAAAUCACACUGUGGCAUCACAGAAUGAUCAA